AACGUACUGACAUGAGAUUUGCGAUUCGCCAGCGUUGUCUCUCACUUCGACGAAUGACCAAUGAGCAGCCAGCGUCAGGCAGCGACGCGCAAGCGGGGGAGGGACUUCAGUGAACUGAGUGAUUCGUUCAGUGAACUGGUAUACUGGUGUACUAAGGAACUGAAGAGUGAUUCGUUCAGUAAACCGGUGUACUGAGGAACUGAAGAGCGAUUCGUUCAGGGGAGGGACUUAAGUGAACUGAGUGAUUCGUUCAGUGAACUGGUGUACUGAGGAACUGAAGACUCAUUUAUCGUUCGCGAUCCGUUAGACACGAGUGAUUCGUUCGUGGAACUUCUUCGUUUGUGAUCCGCUAAGGAGCAGUGUACUACAGGAAGCCGGCUGGCAGGGGGCUUCGUUGCUGAAAAGUCACACAUGCUGGCGAGAGCCAAGCUGGACGUCUGGGGACGCGGAAGGAUGGUCGGUACCUGACGGAGAGAGAGCGGAAUUUCAUUUAAAGAUAAAUCUUCCAUCCACGCUGUGACAUCAGAGCAGCGAGUGACAGAAAAUGACAAAUUACUUGUCAACAUCAUUGAUUGGUCAACAUCUCUGGCAUCGACCACGUCAUCUGAACAUUCGCCGUCUACGUUAUGAAGAGUCAUGCGACAACUAAGGUUUCUUCUAUGUUGUCAUAAACAAUAUAUCCUUGUUAGGGGGAACGCGGUUGGGAUGCUAUUAACGUCCUGCUGAUCAGUUGAUGAUCUCGUCCGGUGGGAGUCCAGUUUGCUUGUGUUUUGUUUAGCAACCCCACGUGGAUGCGCAAAAUGGGAUACCGCUAAUGAUGCCACAAACUGUUUUUACAUUGCAUCCAUUGAUGAAGCAUGUUUGCUUUUUUUUUUUUUUUUUUUCUCAUUGCAUCUUACGUCCUCAUUUGAGAUUGAGCACUGCAGGCAUUAUAACUAACGCAAGUGACAGUCAGCGAGGUGAGAGAUUGAAGCAUUAUUGACUUGGAACUCGAGAGAGAUAUUCGAACCGUUUCCCCAAAGAGAAACAUUAGAGGGCCCAUUAGAUGGGCUCACAAUUUAACAGGUCAAUUAGAAACUAAACACUAUCAGCCCCCCCGCCCCACACACACACACACAAACAUUCAAGUUUAUUCAAAUGGAAAAGUGAAAUGACCACAGCGCAACCUCAAAAGAUGUUCUGCCUUCACUUUUACAAUAGGACACACACGAUUGCUUUCAAAGCAAGUGCACUCAUUUCAUGUCGUUCUUUGGCCACAAAAGCCAAAGAAAAAGCAAAAUGUGCUUUGAUGCAGACAUUAGGACUGCAGCUAUCGGAUAUAUUUAGAAUCGAUUUUUCCAUCAAGCCUGUGAAUAUUCCCAUUCAUCCAUCUCAUUCAUCGUUUCAUUCUCAGGACAUCGAAUCGAUCACGACUAGCCUGCCUGGCUUGUGUGUCCUAACUAAGCUUUGUUGCAUUAACUGAUGAAGCCUGCUCGGAUGAGAGGCGAAAGAUCUUCUAAGACAACCAGUCCACUUAAGACUGAUUCAAUGCCCUGAGAAUUAUUCCUUCGAGUAAUCAAAUAAUCAGAUCCAAAAUUAUUUUGCAUUCAAGUUUAACGUAAAAUCAUUUUUUUUCAAUUAACUGGUUAUUGACAUACUGUACAUGUCGGCGAUUAUUUUCGUAAACUAUUAUUUUUUUUCAAAAAAUUGAUUAGGGGUCCGUAACAUGUCAGAGAAUAGUCAAAAAUGUUAAUAGAUUGUUCCCCAAAAUAAAAACAGAUGUCUGCAAAUGUCCUCGCACAGUAUUACAAAGAAUUCCGUGGAGAUCGGCGUUUCAGUAGACUGACAUGUCAAUAAAGUUGUGUGCGAGGGGCAAACCAUUCUUAUUUUGUUUUAAAGUUUGACAUUGACUGUAAUAUGCUUGUAUCAUUAUUGUAACUCUAAAACAAAGUGUACAAAUAAAGGCCUUCCCCCAAUCUGCAGUUGAAUAAACAAACACCAAAAUAUGAGGAAAUAUCAUAAGUAUAUCGAAUCACGCGCAGUCCAAAUGUCAAUAGUUGAUAUGAGAGCUGUA